UACGUAGGGGGCAAGCGUUGUCCGGAUUUAUUGGGCGUAAAGAGCGUGUAGGCGGCCAGGUAGGUCUGCUGUGAAAACUCGAGGCUCAACCUCGAGACGUCGGCGGAAACCAUCUGGCUAGAGUCCGGAAGAGGAGAGUGGAAUUCCUGGUGUAGCGGUGGAAUGCGCAGAUAUCAGGAAGAACACCCGUGGCGAAGGCGGCUGGCUGGGCCGACCCUGACGCUGAGGCGCGAAAGCGUGGGGAGCGAACCGG
rnacentral:rRNA from 1 species